GUAGGGAAUUUUCGUCAAUGGACGCAAGUCUGAACCAGCCAUGCCGCGUGCAGGAAGACGGCUCUAUGAGUUGUAAACUGCUUUUGUACUAGGGUAAACGCUUCUACGUGUAGGAGCCUGAAAGUAUAGUACGAAUAAGGAUCGGCUAACUCCGUGCCAGCAGCCGCGGUAAUACGGAGGAUCCAAGCGUUAUCCGGAUUUAUUGGGUUUAAAGGGUGCGUAGGCGGUUUGAUAAGUUAGAGGUGAAAUACCGGGGCUCAACUCCGGAACUGCCUCUAAUACUGUUGAACUAGAGAGUAGUUGCGGUAGGCGGAAUGUAUGGUGUAGCGGUGAAAUGCUUAGAGAUCAUACAGAACACCGAUUGCGAAGGCAGCUUACCAAACUAUAUCUGACGUUGAGGCACGAAAGCGUGGGGAGCAAACAGGA
rnacentral:rRNA from 1 species